AAAUGCUUAUUGAGUCGCUAGCUCAUUCCUUAGCAAUUUUUUUUUCAGGUUAGUGCAGUUGUAGAUAGCCUUAGCUGUGCAUUGCUCUUUUUGCAUGAGUCAAUAUUAUCAGGUGGGCCAGAGGAGUUAUCUAAAGAAUUGGGGCAUUUUGGAAACUUGUGUGAAUUAAACUACUGUAUAAAUAUUUCUUAUAUAUAUUAAGUAUGUCAUGCCACUUAAAUUGUAUGAAUGUAUAUUGUAACUAAGUAGUAAAUUAUGUUUAUAAAGUUAUAUAUAUAUAUAUUGCUAUUCAAUGGGAAGUUUGAGUUGGGG
rnacentral:lncRNA from 1 species